rnacentral:rRNA from 1 species
AUUGAACGCUGGCGGCAUGCCUAACACAUGCAAGUCGAGCGAGCGGCGGACGGGUGAGUCAUGCCUGGGCUUUUCCCAGUCGAGGGUGAUAACAGUUGGAAACGACUGCUAAUACCGCAUAUGCCCGGUUUGCUCAGGUGGGAUUAGCUAGUUGGUUAGGUAAUGGCCCACCAAGGCGACGAUCCCUAGCUGGUCUGAGAGGAGGAUCAGCCACACUGGAACUGAGACACGGUCCAGACUCCUACGGGAGGCAGCAGUGGGGAAUAUUGCACAAUGGGGGAAACCCUGAUGCAGCCAUGCCGCGUGUGUGAAGAAGGCCUUCGGGUUGUAAAGCACUUUCAGCGAGGAGGCGUUACUCGCAGAGGAAGCACCGGCUAACUCCGUGCCAGCAGCCGCGGUAAUUC